rnacentral:lncRNA from 1 species
AGGACAAGAAAUCCGCCAAGGAAAAUAUGAAGAUAUAACAAAAACAUUGAAAAUUACAAACCACAUACAUCUCUCCAAUCCCUAGAAAUCAAGAACCCGUUAACUGGAGCCAAAACCGAAAACCCAAAAAGAAGUUAAAUAUAAAACUAUAUCCCAAAUGGACGUUUUAACCUUCACAUUUAUCUUAAAAAAUCGUUGGUUU